rnacentral:rRNA from 1 species
AUUGAACGCUGGCGGCAGGCCUAACACAUGCAAGUCGAACGAGUGGCGGACGGGUGAGUAAUGUCUGGGAAACUGCCUGAUGGAGGGGGAUAACGUCCGGAAACGGGCGCUAAUACCGCAUACCAUCGGAUGUGCCCAGAUGGGAUUAGCUUGUUGGUGGGGUAACGGCUCACCAAGGCGACAAUCCCUCGCUGGUCUGAGAGGAUGACCAGCCACACUGGAACUGAGACACGGGCCAGACUCCUACGGGAGGCAGCAGUGGGGAAUAUUGCACAAUGGGCGCAAGCCUGAUGCAGCCAUGCCGCGUGUAUGAAGAAGGCCUUCGGGUUGUAAAGUACUUUCAGCGGGGAGGCGUUACCCGCAGAAGAAGCACCGGCUAACUCCGUGCCAGCAGCCGCGGUAAUAC